GGAAUCUUCGGCAAUGGACGAAAGUCUGACCGAGCAACGCCGCGUGAGUGAAGAAGGUUUUCGGAUCGUAAAACUCUGUUGGUAGAGAAGAACGUUGGUGAGAGUGGAAAGCUCAUCAAGUGACGGUAACUACCCAGAAAGGGACGGCUAACUACGUGCCAGCAGCCGCGGUAAUACGUAGGUCCCGUACGUUGUCCGGAUUUAUUGGGCGUAAAGCGAGCGCAGGCGGUUUAAUAAGUCUGAAGUUAAAGGCAGUGGCUUAACCAUUGUUCGCUUUGGAAACUGGUAGACUUGAGUGCAGAAGGGGAGAGUGGAAUUCCAUGUGUAGCGGUGAAAUGCGUAGAUAUAUGGAGGAACACCGGUGGAGAAAGCGGCUCUCUGGUCUGUAACUGACGCUGAGGCUCGAAAGCGUGGGGAGCAAACA
rnacentral:rRNA from 1 species